rnacentral:tRNA from 1 species
CUGGUGGUCCAGUGGUUAAGACUCUGCCUGCCAAUGCAGGGGACACAGGUUCAAUUCCUGGUCCAG